AACGAACGCUGGCGGCAUGCCUAACACAUGCAAGUCGAACGAGACCUUCGGGUCUAGUGGCGCACGGGUGCGUAACGCGUGGGAACCUGCCCUUAGGUUCGGAAUAACUCCCCGAAAGGGGUGCUAAUACCGGAUAAUGUCUUCGGACCAAAGAUUUAUCGCCUUUGGAUGGGCCCGCGUUGGAUUAGCUAGUUGGUAGGGUAAAAGCCUACCAAGGCGACGAUCCAUAGCUGGUCUGAGAGGAUGAUCAGCCACACUGGGACUGAGACACGGCCCAGACUCCUACGGGAGGCAGCAGUGGGGAAUAUUGGAAAAGGGGCGAAAGCCUGAACCAGCAAUGCCGCGUGAAUGAUGAAGGCCUGAGGGUUGUAAAGCGCUUUUACCCGGGAUGAUAAUGACAGUACCGGGAGAAUAAGCCCCGGCUAACUCCGUG
rnacentral:rRNA from 1 species